UCACUUUUGGGAGCAUCUAGAGUUCCUUGAACAAUGUGAUAUCUCACCCCAAUCCCCCUCUCAACCAAAUAUUGAACGAGAACACCUCCAGUUGGACAACAGACUGCAACCAAAGCUGACGUGUGCAAGAAAUAAUCCUACAUAGCUAAUGAUGACGUGAGCAAUCCCAAGGUGACACGUGGCACACAGAUGGUGUGAUAGUGACAUGAUUAGUAGACAAUCUAGAUUUAUGUUUUUGUUUUUAUAUUCUAAGUCAAAUGGAUUCAGAAAUAUUUAUUUGAUUGUAAUUCAUGAAAAUUAUGAGAACAAUAUUUUGUAUGCUUAUAUAUU